AGCUCUGACAUCCACUAUUCUAGGUCCUUUCCAGCUCUGACAUCCACUGUUAUAAGUCCUUCCCAGCCCCGACAUCCACUGUUCUAGAUUCUUCCCAGCCCUGACAUCCACUGUUCUAGGUCCUUCCCAGCUCUGACAUCUACUGUCACUGUUCUAAGUCCUUCCAACUCUGCUCAUCUCUACCCUGAGGACCCUCCCAGCUCUAAAGAGCUCUGUUCUCCUAAGGGCCCCCAGCCCUGACAUCCACUGUUCUAGGUCCUUCCCAGCCCUGACAUCCACUGUUCUAGGUCCUUCCCAGCCCUGACAUCCACUGUUCUAGGUCCUUCCCAGCCCUGACAUCCACUGUUCUAGGUCCUUCCCAGCCCUGACAUCCACUGUUCUAGGUCCUUCCCAGCCCUGAUAUCCUCUGCUCUAAGGCCACUUUGGACUGUCAGUCUAAGACCCAUCCCCAAGUCUGACAUCCUAUGUUCUUUUUGGUUCUCAGGUUCCUUCUCACUCUGACGUUCAGGCUAGUCUGUUCUAAGAUCUACUCCUGCUCUGAUCUUCUCUGUUGACCCUCCUAAGGGCCGUCUAGUUCUGACAAGGAACAUCUAUUGUUGGGGAGGGGCUUUCGGAUUUGUGGGGCCGAAGGAACCUCAGGAGCCUCCAGCACACAAGCCAGGAGCUUAGACCCCUAGUGCCCUCCGGUACAUUGAGGUACUCUAGACUAUUCCUCGGCCUCCCACCCGGCCUGCUCCCGCCUUGCCAGGCCCCCACAGCAGACAGGAGCCGUUGGGGUUUCUCCUCUGGGAACGGGAGGCCUUCCACAAAGUGGCUGCCUCCAAGCUGGCAUCUCUCAUUGCUCCAGAAAAAUGGACCCCUGAGCACGCCUAGAAUGUCUCUGCCCCGUGCCCGUCUCUGCCCCGUGCCCAUCUCUGCCCCGUGCCCGUCUCUGCCCCGUGCCCGUCUCUGCCCCGUGCCCGUCUCUGCCCCGUGCCCGUCUCUGCCCCGUGCCCGUCUCUGCCCCGUGCCCGUCUCUGCCCCGUGCCCGUCUCUGCCCCGUGCCCGUCUCUGCCCCGUGCCCGUCUCUGCCCCGUGCCCGUCUCUGCCCCGUGCCCGUCUCUGCCCCGUGCCCGCCUCUGCCCCGUGCCCAACUUGCCCAUUCACAAGCAAAGGCCAACGCCAAGCGGGCUUCUCCCAGGUCGAUAAAGCGACAGGCCCCCUCCAGGUGCCGCGGGAAUGCUGCCCGCUGUCGAUGCAGGCCUCGCUGCCCCUUCCAGCCACCCCCUCGCCCGCCCUCCACAGGCUCUCCCGGCAGAGUCGCCGCCACUCUACGUCUCUGAGGACGCCCCGAGCUGCAGCGAGGCACCCCCGAGGCGGACAGCAACACUCCUACUGUGUGCAGGCUAGGCACUGGCCAUCCUUAUAA
rnacentral:lncRNA from 1 species